AACUCCGACUGGUCCAGAAUGCCACGGCGUGACUCUUAGCAAGAGCUGGAUGGAGCAUGCAAGUUACUCCCAUUCUACAGACACUUUAUUGGCUGCCCAGUUGUUGCUGAGCUCAGUUGAAGAUUAAUUCACCAGAGUACAUAAAAGUCCAUUACAUAAACUUGGACAUAGCGGCGGAACAGCUACCGGGCACAAUUACUGGGCACCCCCCACCAUUGCAGGAAAACAGACAUGGAAGAAGAUAGACAGCUGGAGGAAAAUAAAAAAGGAGAUCUGAACUUAAGGUCAAGAAGAAGAUAAUGAUUUAUUCAAUAAUGAUUUAUUAAAUGGUUUAUUGAAUAUUAUGAUUUGUUAGAUGGUAAUGAUGUUUAGUAAUAGAUAAGUAAUUGAUAUAUAAGAUGAAAUGUCAGGAAAAAGGAAGUUAUUCAGAAAAUGUAAUAUAGAGAUAAGUUCAGUAUUAGAAGUAUUAUUAUUUUCCAGCAAAAAUGUACAUGGCAGACUAACAAAUAUAGAAAAUGGAGUAGACCUGGAACUGGAGUACUAUAUACACGGAGCCAAUUAUUGAGGUAGAAGAGUUUACCUCAGAAAUAGAUAGAUCCUAAUAGAUUCUAAUAGAGACCUUAAGGAGUUCUUAAGGCCGGAAACAAU